GAUGAACGCUAGCGGCAGGCCUAAUACAUGCAAGUCGAACGGUAAGGUCCCGCUUGCGGGAUACACGAGUGGCGCACGGGUGAGUAACGCGUAUGCAACCUACCUUUAACUGGAGAAUAGCCCCGAGAAAUCGGGAUUAAUACUUCAUAAUAAUGAGGAUUGGCAUCUUUUCUUGUUUAAAGCUCCGGCGGUUAAAGAUGGGCAUGCGUGACAUUAGAUAGUUGGUGAGGUAACGGCUCACCAAGUCAGCGAUGUCUAGGGGUUCUGAGAGGAUUAUCCCCCACACUGGUACUGAGACACGGACCAG
rnacentral:rRNA from 1 species